rnacentral:rRNA from 1 species
AGUUUGAUCAUGGCUCAGGACGAACGCUGGCGGUGUGCUUCACACAUGCAAGUCGAACGAGGUAGCAAUACCUAGUGGCGGACGGGUGAGUAACGCGUGGGAAUCUGCCUUUAGAUGGGGGAUAACGGGUCGAAAGACUCGCUAAUACCGCAUAUGACGAAAGUUGAAAGGAGUAAUCCGUCUAAAGAUGAGCCCGCGUCCGAUUAGCUAGUUGGUAGAGUAAAAGCCUACCAAGGCGACGAUCGGUAGCUGGUCUGAGAGGAUGAUCAGCCACAACGGGACUGAGACACGGCCCAUACUCCUACGGGAGGCAGCAGUGGGAAUUUUACGCAAUGGGCGAAAGCCUGACGUAGCGACACCGCGUGAGCGAAGAAGCCCCUUGGGGUGUAAAGCUCUGUCAGCUGGAACGAAAAAAUGACGGUACCAGCAGAGGAAGCAUCGGCUAACUACGUG